CACGACGCCGUUUUCACCGCGGUCUCCUGAAUUUUUCUUUAAAUUUACUGCAUUGCCUUUGAAUUAGGAAAAUAUUUGCUAAUUGUUGGCACACUCGGUUGUGUUUAUGCGCCUCAGGUGAUGAUUGAGACAAAGUAUUUUAGAUGAAUUAUCAUUUGUUUGGCAAGUUCUCUUUUCUUUUUUAAUUAUUAUUUUUUAAUUUGAAUUUGCAAGGUUAUUGCUUGUUACUGUUUCUGUAAUUAUGUUAGUGUGCUUAUUUUUGCUGGUGUCUGCAAAUUACUUUUGUUAUUGAUUUUUGUUUGUACUAGACUUCUAGCUCCCUUUUUCUUUCUUUCUUUUUUACUCCCUUUUCUUGUUUUUUUUUCCUGUCUUAUUCUUUUGUUUGGUGUGGCACGCACGUUGGGUUUAGUUGUUUAUUCUUUUGCUAAUUUUGUGACCCCCUGUCUCUUGUGAAGGUUGUAUGCCUUUGAUGUCCACUGCAACUCUUUCUUCCCUAUGUUCCUGUUGCUUUAUGUUGUUCAUUAUUUUAUAUCACCACUUUUGGUUGCUCAUGGUUUUAUACCCGUGUUACUGUCAAAUUUGCUCUUCAUGGCAGCCAUUUCCUAUUAUCAUUACCUAAAUUUUUUAGGUUAUGCAGAGUGUAGAAUCUAAAUACUCCCCUGCACAGAAAGCAACUAUUGUUGUGUUUACUAGGUCUACAGAGACUGGUCUUUUGAAGGGAUUCCGUUCAGAUGCAAAAGAAUCACAUGUAUCAGCUCGAGUUAUGUUGGCAUCAAACCAAGUUGGUUGUCUAUUGGGAAAAGGAGGUGCAAUAAUUUCAGAGAUGAGAAAGAUGACUGGUACUAGCCUAAGGAUCAUUGGGGGCGACCAAGUUCCAAAUUGUGCCUCUGAAAAUGAAGAGGUUUUACAGGUACGACAGUUUUAAGUGUGUAAUAGAUCUAGGCGGUAAAAGACUUACAUUGGAGUUGGAAAAGUUUGAAAGCUGAAACCUUUUUUGUGUAAUAUGGAUAUAUUUUCAUGAUUUGUUAAGAUGAAACCUGCUUGAUUUAUUGGCACUUUCCAUACCAUUUGCUAUCUGACCUUCCAAGGAUCUUGACGACACACUGGGGAUUAUCUCUCACAUUCUCUAUUCAACAAUAUAGAAUGAAUUUUGAGCGUGCGCAGGCUGAGAUUGCUAAGAUACGAGAACUGGAUGAUGACGAGAACACUGAUACUUCUGCUGAGAAUUUUGGAGAUUGAUGCAGGUAAUUUUUCAGCUCAACAUAUGAGUGGUUAUGGCAGCUUAAUGCUCUUAGUUGACUUGGUGAAUUUGCCUUUUUGGUUGUUUGUGGUGGCCUUUGAGUUAUAUUACAUAUGG